UCAGGUCAAUAUUCCAUAGCAACCACACUCAUUAUUUUAACACUCUCAGACUUUGUCCUCCUCAUAUUUAAACCCCCCCUAUCCUGUACCCCUGGGUAUAAUUUUAAAAUGAACUUCACGCGGGUCCAACAAAUCUAUAUCUGCAAAACUUGUUGCUGGGAAGCUAGCUGAGUUCUAUCUGAUUUUUAUGUUCUAGUUUCAUCAACAAACUGAGGGAACCGCGAAUAUCUUGUCGACGAAAAGCAAUUCUAGCUGUUUUCGAGUGAGUCAUCUUCUUUCAAGAUCAAUUUGGCAACUAGAGGUGGAUGUUGAGGCAUAGUCCUGCCCCAAAUUUUCAUUGUCUGGCCUUCUGGAAGACUCAUUGGCCAGCAUGUUGG